rnacentral:rRNA from 1 species
UGGGGAAUAUUGGACAAUGGGCAAAAGCCUGAUCCAGCCAUGCCGCAUGAGUGAAGAAGGCCUUUGGGUUGUAAAGCUCUUUUAGUGAGGAAGAUAAUGACGGUACUCACAGAAGAAGUCCUGGCUAACUCCGUGCCAGCAGCCGCGGUAAUACGGAGAGGGCUAGCGUUAUUCGGAAUUAUUGGGCGUAAAGGGCGCGUAGGCUGGUUAGUAAGUUAAAAGUGAAAUCCCGAGGCUUAACCUUGGAACUGCUUUUAAAACUGCUAACCUAGAGAUUGAAAGAGGAUAGAGGUAUUCCUAGUGUAGAGGUGAAAUUCGUAAAUAUUAGGAGGAACACCAGUGGCGAAGGCGUCUAUCUGGUUCAAAUCUGACGCUGAGGCGCGAAGGCGUGGGGAGCAAACA